AGCCCCCCGUGGUUUCUGUUUGCUUUUUUACCGUCCCCCGUCCCCCCACCCCCACCCCGUCCCGGCCCCACCCGGGCCUUGGUCCCACCGCGAAGGGGCGAGGAGUCCCCGGAAGGGUCGCGAUGGCCGGGGAGUCCGGGACCUCGGCUCUGGGUAGGCGCGCCCCGCGACCCAGCGGCGGCGUGGGCGAGGGGCGCUGCGCAAACUACGCGCUCUCGCUGGGGAAACGCCAGCCGAGGCGGGCGGCGGCGGUAAAGGGAAUGAGGACCAGGACCCGGUGCCCGGCGGGACUGGCCCCGCACCCCACGCCGCCCCCCUGCGGUGCGCACCGCAUCUGCGCCCUAGGCCGAGGCCAGGCUCGGACCCCUCCCCCGCACCGACGUGAUUCGGAUCGCGCGGUGCUGGCGCCGCCUUCAUGCGCCCUGCCUGGCCCCCACCUGGUCCUCUUUCCUUUUCAGGUGGAGAAGAUGCCGCUGUCCCGUCGGUCUGGGGACAGCCCAGCUCCCCGGAUCCCGGGCUGGAGAGACGCGUCGCGGCCCCGGGGCCUGGUGGCACGAGCAGGAAAGAGGACCCGGCGGCGGGCUCUGCCUGGGCUUGCCUGGGCUUGUUCCGAGCCGGGCUGCUUCUCGGUGACCACGCAGAUCGGGGGCAUUUGGAGAUUUUGCGGGAGUCCUGCAGCCAAGCUCCGGGGCAGGAGAGGCCUGGAAGCCUGCACUACCUGCUCGCCCCGUCCCAGCGUGCACCCAGGGCUGUCCUCCGUGCCUUUACCUGUGCUGGGCCCUGGCAGAGCUCUGAGUCUUCCGGAUUCCAGCGUCCAUAGCAGCUAGUCUGUCGACUGCUGGAGGAAAGCCGCUUUCCCAAAAUAGCCACCCAGGGGGAAAGAGCAGCCCUGGAAUUUGACCCUGACGAUCACCGUGACGGGGCUGCUGGCCCCACCUGGGCUAACCUCCACGACAUCACGGAAGGACUAUUGGUUAGUUGUGGGGGCCAGGAUUUUUCCUCUGUCCCCCUCCCCUCUUCUUCUUCCCUUUCUUCUUUUUCUCUGCCAGCUUCACGUUUGAAAUUCUGGUGACACCGAGGGGAGAUGCUCCAGUGCCUGUCCAGCUGGGGGGCAGGUCACAUGGUGGGAGCAGAGAGGGGAGGGCACUUGUGCGCCUGCACCUCUCGGCAGGUGAAUGCACACCUAUGGAGGGGCCUGGGUGCUGGCAGUGAGCCCUGCUCCCUGCGGCCGUGCCAGGCCCAGAGGCGGCAGCAAGCUGAACAGGUCAGACAGGUGGAGCCAGCCUGGGGAAGCUGCAGGACCAGAGCUGACAUCCGAUCAAUCCAAGGUCCUUCUUUGGUCCACAGAGCAGGUGCUGGGGAGAGGCAAGACAGGCCUGUCCCCUGAGUCCCCUCCGGAUGCCGUGGACUGGCCAGCUGUGAGUGUUUCUUUGGCAGUGUCUUAGCUGGUUGUUGUGAGCAAUAGUAAGGAAGCAAUCAGCAAGUAUACUGCCCUAGAAGUGCUGCACGUUGUGGGGCCCGAGAGGGAAGAUGAGGCGAGAGAUGCCCAGACCAGUGGGAGACGCCAGGACUUCGGAAGCUCUUCUGCGCCACGGUGGGUGGUGAGGGCGGCUGGGAAAGUGAGCUCCAGGGCCCCAGGAGCAGCCUGCUCGUGGGUGCGGAAGGAAAAAGGCACAGGGGCUUGGUGUGGGCGGCUUUUGGCUGGGAGAAGUUUGCACGUAGGGAGAAUAGUAGCCAGUGUUUGCAGAGCACUUACUAUGCAGGAAGGCCUGUCCUAAGCAUUCUAAGUGUAUUACAUCAUGAACAAAUGUCUGUGAUUAGCCCCGUCUUGCAGAGAAGGAAACAGAAGUACAAACAGAAAAUGUAACUAAGCAUGCAAUUAAUAAAAAGGGGCCAGGUUUUGAACCCAAGCAAUCUGGCUCAAGAAUCUGUGCCCAACCACCGGCUCCUGUUCUUAGAGAUGAAUGUGGAGUCCUGGAGCCUGCUCCGCAUUGUAACUUGAUCAUGACCGUACGCGCUCCCUGUCCCCAGGAGACAGAUUUCCAGUGCAAUCAUAGAAAGUGCCUGUGUGGGCUUCGGGAGAUGUGUCUGCCUUGGGGAGAGUUUUCCUUUUCAGCUAGAGCCAGGCCCAGGAUGUUGACGUCAAUGAGACGCUGGUGACGUUCUCUGCUCCAGUGGCUGAUGAGAAAAGUUCCUCCAAGACAGCUCAGUUGAGGAGAAUUAAGUUCUCUGGGUCCCACUGCCUUCACCUACAGAUGCCAACUUUGAAGCCAGUGAACUGUGAGGCCAGCUGGACUGAUUGCCGUGGCAAUAGGAAUUGGACCCAAGUCACCGGAGGAUGGAGAGGGAAGACACAGUAGUGGCUUCCCCAGGUCUUGGACCACAAGGCACAACUGUGGCCUCCAGGAAGCCUGAGAUAACCCGUUAGUGGGUCCUGCACUCCAACAGAGCUCGUGCAAUCAGCCUCUGGUCCUCACCCUCCUCCCAUUGGUGUCGUUGUGCUCUCUGACAUUGACAUUGAGCAGUCAAUUGAGUGCUCCAGAUCUCGUUCCACUGAUUUUUUCCACUGUUCUCCAGUCUAGCACUUUCUGAAAUUCAUCCAAGCCUAAGAGGUGAUGCCAAAUGUCAGCAGCUUACACCUCGGACCUCAUGGACUAAGACAAGCCUCUGGGGUCCAUGUGGCACCAAGGAUGGGGUCUUCUAAUACCUUUCACACAGGCCAGGGACAGCACCUGCUGUGACCCCCACCCCCAGCCUCUGCCUCUUCUCCCGUUGCCCUUCCAGCCACUGCCCUGGGCACCUCCCCUGCUCCCGCCUCCCUGCCUGGGCCCAUCUUUCUUUCCACCUCACCGAUUGCAGGGCUCCCUAGCGCUGGAGGGGAAAGGAGCCUGCUUCCAUUCUUACCACUCUGAAAGUCAGAAGGCCCUGCAGAGAGGUUUUCUGGGAUUUGGAGCCUAACCUUGGCCUUGACACGGUCCAGAUGAGAAGGCCGUCCCCCAGUUAAGCCAGCCCUCCCUCCCUCUCAAUGCUGGAGAGGAAACCAGGCAGCUGGUUGCUUCAGCAAACCCCAUCCCUACGGGAAUUGUUCUUUUUUUCCUCAAAUAGACGAGUGCAGAGGACUUGCUUCAGAGAGAUCCCCUUUGUAGCACGCAUUCACGGGCCGUGCCCCAUGCCUACUCUGCCACAAACUCCCCUCAGCUGCCCAGCCCCGUGGAGCCAGGCGUGGGCUGAAGUGGGGCCAAUGAAAUGCCUGGAAUGCCAGCCGCAGCGACAGGCCAGCACUCAGAUGCCUCUCGGGAGUUCUGACCGAAGCAGCACUGAGGACCGCUUCAGAGCAGAAGUCUACACCAUUUUCCCCAGUUUUAGGCAGAAGUAAAGAAUGUCUCUACCUUCUCCCAACCAGCAAUUGAUUCAGAGUCCUGAGCUUUUAAAUUAAAGGGACCCCUCUGUUGCUUUAUGCAGUAGCCAGCUUAUUCAUUUGAGUUCAGGUGAAAUCAUUUUCAAGUAACCUCUUCCUAUCCAGCUUUGCUUUUAGUUAUGCUGACAUAAAAACAAUAAAAAUUGUCCUUCUCAGAGUUCACCUGUAAAAGUUUCUGGAUAAUUAGUAAGGAAACAGAAACAGCAGACAGUUGUUGCUUCAGAUAAAAGUGAUGUCUGGGUCGGGCACAGUGGCGCAUGCCUGUAAUCCCAGCACUUUGGGAGGCCAAGGUGGAUGGAUCCCUUGAGUUCAGGAGUUUCAGACCAGCCUGGGCAACAUCUCUACAAAAAAUACAAAAAUUAGCCGGGCAUAGUGGCAGGACUGUAGUCCCAGCUACUCAGGAGGCUGAGGUCAGGGGAUGGCUUGAGCCCAGGAGGCACAGAUUGAAGUGAGCUGAGAUUGCGCCGCUGUACUCCAGCCUAGGCGACAGAACCAGACCGUGUCUCAAAAAGAAAAAGGUAAUUGUGGUCAUUUAAUUUACUUCUGCAUUCUUUUUUUUUUUUGAAAUGGCCAGUGGUACCAUCUCAGCUCACUGCAACCUCUGCCUUGGGGGUUCAAGUGAUCCUCCUGCCUCAGCCUCAUGAGUAGCUGGGAUUACACGCACCCACCACCAUGCCCAGCUAAUUUUUGUUUUUUUAGUAGAGACGGGGCUUUGCCAUGUUGACCAGGCUGGACUCAAACUCCUGACCUCAGGUGAUCCGCCCACCUCGGCCUCCCAAAGCACUGGGAUUACAGGAAUGAGCCACUGCACUCGGCCUACUUCUGCAUUCCUUAGAGUGCAUCCUAGCUAGGAUAUAUUCAGUUGUCUUUAGAGCUAACAGCAGAAGAAAGGUACUUAGAUGCUUAUCUAGCUCUUUAUCUUUCUAGAAAUUCUAGAAGAUGAGAGGGGCAGUGGUGGCUCCAAGGGAGUGAUUUUAGGAUGGACUGGGACAGAGAGGGGCUGCUUACACAUACUCAUACAGAGGCCAUUAAUUUAGGGAGUUCAUGGUCCAGGAGGCUGAUGGCAUCUAGGCCUGUGGCAGAGUGUGCUCCUGCUAGGGAAUGUAUGGGCAGAUUCUUGCCUAUAGUUGGAGGGUUAGAGAGGAGGGAUCAAUAAUUUAAUGGCUGGACUUGAGUUUGGAAGCGAGUGGAGUUAGAUACAAAUUCUGUUUUUGGAGAAAGUAUUUGAUCUUCUUGGCUGUGAGGCAAAGCGAGGUUUAAAAAUAUUUUUGACUUAAAAAAUAUAUAUAUGCAUGUAUAUUUAAUACCGUCUAUGGAUUGUGCCAAUAUCUAUUUUAUGGUUUUGAUAUUGUGCAGUUAUACAAGGAGUUACCACUGAACGAAACUGGGGGACGGGUACACAGAAUCUCUGUACUUUUUUUGUUGUUGUUGCAAUUUCCUGUAAAUCUAUGAUUAUUUUAAAAUAAAAAAGUUAAAGCAUA